ensembl:lncRNA
CUGAUUCAAAAUAGGGGAGGGUUGUUAAGAACACCUUCCUAAUAUUGAGUUGCACAGCCUCAAUUCGUCAGAUCAUGGACUCCAGAAGAUGUUGAAAGCGUUCCACAGGGAUGUUGGCCCAUGUUGUCUCCAAUGAUUCCCACAGUUGUGUCAAGUUGGCUGGAUGUCCUUUGGGUGGUGGACCAUUCUUGAGACACAAGGGAAAGCUGGAAUGGCGCUGGAAGGGAUGGCUGACGUUUUACGGGCUCCUUAACAAUUGUGCUAUUUUAUUUUUUAUUUUUUUGCCUUGUUUAGUAACUUAUUUUGUACAUGUUUCUGCCACCGUCUCUUAUAAUUGAAAAUGGCUUCUGGAUAUCAGAACAGCGAUUACUCACCUCGAGCUGGACAAAGAUUUUUUCUUUAACGAGUUGAACAUGAAGGAUUUCAAUGCUGCUCCCAGACCAGGCCUAAAUCCCCAUAAUUCUCGAGAAGACUCCGAUACAGGGUACGCAGAUCCGGGUGCCUUGUGAGAAUUCGUUGACGAGAGUGUAACCCGCCUCUACCGUCCGUCCUAUUGGCCAACAUGCAAUCAUUGGAGAAUAAACUGGAAGACCUCCGUUCGAGACUCUCCUACCAACUGGACAUUAACUGUAAUAUUUUAUGUUUCACCGAUUCUUGGCUGAAUGAUGACGUGGCUGAGUUUUCCGUGCUUCGGCAAGACAGAACAGCUACCUCCGGUAAGACGAGGAGUGGGGGUCUAUUUAUAUUUGUAAAAAUUAGCUGGUGCACAAAAUCUAAUAUUAAAGAAGUAUUGUGGUUUUGCUCGCCUGAGGUAGAGUACUUCAUGAUAAGCUGUAGACCACACUAUUUACCAAGCGCUUUCCUCUAUUUUUCGUAGCUGUUUAUUUACCGCCACAAACUGAUGCUGGCACUAAAGACUGCACUCUAGGAACUAUAUAAGGCCAUAAGGAAAAGGCUGAUCCAGAGGCGGCGCUGCUAGUGGCCGGGAACUUUAAUGCAGGAUAACUUAAAUCUGUUUUACCUCAUUUCUACCAGCAUAUCUCAUGUGCAACCAGAGGGAAAUAACUCUAGAACACUUUUACUCCACACACAGAUGUGUACAAAGCUCUCCCUCGCCCUCCAUUUGUCAAAUCUGACCAUAAUUCUAUCCUCCUGAUUCCUGCUUACAUUCAAAAACUAAAGUAGUCAGAUGAGGCAGGUGCUAAUCUACAUGACUAUUUUGUUAG